rnacentral:rRNA from 1 species
GACGAACGCUGGCGGCGUGCUUAACACAUGCAAGUCGAACGGUAAGGCCCUUCGGGGUACACGAGUGGCGAACGGGUGAGUAACACGUGGGUGAUCUGCCCUGCACUUCGGGAUAAGCCUGGGAAACUGGGUCUAAUACCGGAUAGGACCACUGCCUGCAUGGGUGGGGGGGGAAAGCUUUUGCGGUGUGGGAUGGGCCCGCGGCCUAUCAGCUUGUUGGUGGGGUGAUGGCCUACCAAGGCGACGACGGGUAGCCGGCCUGAGAGGGUGACCGGCCACACUGGGACUGAGAUACGGCCCAGACUCCUACGGGAGGCAGCAGUGGGGAAUAUUGCACAAUGGGCGCAAGCCUGAUGCAGCGACGCCGCGUGAGGGAUGACGGCCUUCGGGUUGUAAACCUCUUUCAGCACCGACGAAGCGCAAGUGACGGUAGGCGCAGAAGAAGGACCGGCCAACUACGUGCCAGCAGCCGCCGUAA